AGUGUUCAAUAUCUAGUACAGCCGAACUAAGGUGAAACCGCGAAUGGCUCAUUAAAUCACACCUAAUCUACAGUACCGAUAAACAGUUACUUGGAUAACUGAGGUAAUUCUUGAGCUAAUACAUGCGAUGAAACCGCGACUCACGAAGCGGUGCUUUUAUUAGAUCAAAACCAGACGGCGCCCCGUCAAAAGGGUGCCGGCAAACCUUGGCGAUUCUGAAUAACUUUGGGCUGAUAGCAUUGCCUUGCGCAGGCUACAAGUUCUUCGAAGGUGUGCCCUAUCAACUUUCGACUGUGUCACAGCUGGGCACAGUGGUUUUAACGGGUAACGGGGAAUGGGGCGGGGGCGGCGGGCCGGGCGCGGGGCGCGGGCGGGCGA
rnacentral:rRNA from 1 species